rnacentral:rRNA from 1 species
GAUGAACGCUGGCGGUAUGCUUAACACAUGCAAGUCGAACGGACUCUUCGGAGUUAGUGGCGGACGGGUGAGUAACGCGUGAGAAUCUGGCUUUGGGUUCGGGACAACCACUGGAAACGGUGGCUAAUACCGGAUGUGCCGAGAGGUAAAAGAGAAAUUGCCUGAAGAUGGGCUCGCGUCUGAUUAGCUAGUUGGUGAGGUAAAGGCUCACCAAGGCAGCGAUCAGUAGCUGGUCUGAGAGGAUGACCAGCCACACUGGGACUGAGACACGGCCCAGACUCCUACGGGAGGCAGCAGUGGGUAAUGUGCCGCAAUGGGCGAAAGCCUGACGGAGCAAUACCGCGUGAGGGAAGAAGGCUCUUGGGUUGUAAACCUCUUUUCUUAGGGAAGAACAAAAUGACGGUACCUAAGGAAUCAGCAUCGGCUAACUCCGUG